GACAUUAUCCGCCACUACGCCUUUACCGAUCCGAAUCCCACUGCUUCGAUUGUGUUCCAAGGAACGGUCGUCAACGUCCAGCCGUCUCCUGUGCUUGCAGCUUUUAGCUCGCGAGGACCUAAUCCCAUAACGCCAAACAUUCUCAAACCGGACUUGAUCGCUCCUGGAGUCAAUAUCCUCGCCGCGUGGACCGGAGCUGUGGGACCGUCCGGACUAGCUUCGGAUACUCGCCGCGUGGAAUUCAACAUCAUCUCAGGAACGUCCAUGUCUUGCCCUCACGUCAGCGGUUUAGCGGCUCUUCUCAAGUCUGUAUAUCCCGAAUGGAGCCCCGCGGCUAUUCGAUCGGCUCUCAUGACCACCGCUUAUAAUACAUACAAAGACGGAAACCCGAUCAUUGACAUCGCGACGGGGAUACCUUCAACGCCGUUCGAGCACGGUGCAGGACAUGUAUCGCCAACGACGGCCGUCAAUCCAGGACUCAUCUACGAUCUAACGACGGCCGAUUAUUUAGGUUUCCUCUGCGCAUUGAAAUAUAAUUCGUCGCUGAUCAGAAUCAUAUCGAGAGGCAACUACACUUGCGACCCAAGCAAAACGUACUCCGUCGCUGAUCUAAACUAUCCGUCGUUUGCCGUUAACGUCGACGGGUCCAGCACGUACAAGUACACACGCACGGUCACAAACGUUGGAGGAGCUGGGUCAUACUCGGUUAAAGUAACGUCGGAGACAACAGCAGUCAAGAUUUCGGUUGAACCGGCGAUUUUGAAUUUUAAAGAAGUGAACGAGAAGAAAUCUUAUGAGGUAACGUUUACCGUUGACUCGUCUAAGCCGUCUGGGUCUAACAGCUUUGGGAGCAUUGAGUGGUCAGAUGGGAAACAUGUGGUGGCCAGUCCCGUGGCGAUUAGCUGGCCAUAGGUGGUCGAUUGUGACUAGCAGAUAUUGUAAUGCUACUUUCAUAAGAAUUCUGUUUCGGUUAAACGGCAUGCAGUCUGCUUUGUUGGUAAUUUAUCAUGCGACUUGAAUAUUUAAUGAAAACUAUAAAAAAGGGUUAAGACUAUUUUAGCUGGCUAGUGUGUUAUGACUAUUUCUAUUUACUAGGCUGUGGACAUUUAUACUGACAUUUAUUAAAUUAGUUUAUGAGAUACGAAAUAUACUAGGCAUGCAAUACUAGUUCAUGAUUAAUUAAUGGCCAAUCUUCUCUUUUUUUUUGCUGAAAUUAAUGGUCAAUCUUGAUUCACGUUGCAUGAAUGUGAACCACUCUACGUAGGAAACUCUCAGCAAUCAACUACCUCCAGUGUAUCAUAACAAUGUGAUUACGAUAAGUAUAAAAAUAUGAAUCUAAUAAGGUUGAAAAGACUCUAAUUAAGAUCUAAUGAUAACCAACACGAGGUUUCUAUUUGAAGAACCAACGACAAGAAGUUUAUCAAUAUGAGGUAAUAAGGAGAUCCAUUGAAAUACUUAUCUUCAAACAAACUGUUAAAAUGUAUGGCUUUUGUUAAUAGUAAACUCACCUCUUUCCAUAAAUUACACAAAUUUGCAGAUAAAAAAAUCCAGAAGAAAAGAAAACAUAAAAAUUCAUAUCCCCUAUAUAUUAAAAGAGAAACACUACAACAUAUUUUUGUAGCCACAUGUCAUCACCACAAUCAUUCUAAAAAUCCUUAGAAAAAUAUGUUGGUCCAUAUAAAUAUAUAAUAAGUUUUUUUAUUAAACUAACCAUAAAUUAAUCAUAAAUGUUUUUCAUUGUUUCCUUAAAUAAAAAUCACGGAAUUACCUAAUGUGGCUAAAGUAUAUAUGAUAAUUAAUGAUUUUGAAUAAUAAAGAUUUGAUAAAAAUCAGUCUAUUCUCUAUCAUUUUUAAUUCAUUUUAAAAUAAAUUAAAUAACCACAUUAACUAUAUAAUAAAAAUUUAGAUUUUGCCGUAUAUGUUAUAUUUUGAAUUUUAAAAAACGAAUAUAAAUGACUAAAGUUGUUAAAAAUCUCACACUGAAAUUUUUGUGAUCCAUGGUUUAAAAUUUAUGUUAUAACAAGAUACAAAUGAUUACGAAAUUACAUAAGUAAGAAGUCUCAUUUAAUAAAUAUCAGAUAUAUGCAUAUUAAUAUUUUUUAAAAAUAAAUUAUAUACCAUAUAAAAUACAUAAGUAUUUUAAUUUCGAAUUUUAUUUGAAAUUUUUUGAUAAACAUUUUGAACAAUUAUUGACAACUUAAUAUUUAGAUUUUAAACUUUGCAUUGAAUGUUUUUAAAAUUAUAAAUUACUAAAAGUAUUAAACAUCCCAUAAAUUUUUUAUUGUUAUCAUUGAUUUAAAAUUUUUGUUAUAAGAAAAAUACAAACGAUCAAAAAUAAUAUGAGUAUAAAAUAUUUUUUAACGGAUGUAAAUAUUAAAAAUGUACUAUAUAUCUAUGUUAAUAUCAUUUAAACUUAAUUUUAUAACAUAUAAAAUAGAAAAAAAUAUUUGUCUGGAUAAAAAAAAUUAUUUAAGUAUUUGUACCAAUUUAGUUAUAUACGUAAUAGUUACUAAAUUUUUAAUUAUUCAAUAUGUAUAUAUUAUUUUAUAAUAUGUAAAAAAAUAUAUAAUACUUAAAAAUGAUUUAUAUAUAAUAUUCAUCCCGUGUAAUGCGCGGAUCUUAACCUAGUUUUAAUAUUAUUUAAGCUUAUUUAAAACAUAUAUAUGUAUAUUUAAAUAAACGAUUUUAAUCAAACUGAAAAAUCUAUAAUAAGUAAGUCACUUAAGUUCUCGACUUAUAAUUUGAAACAAAAAUAAAUUCAUUUUGUGUUAAUUGUCAAAUUAUUUCUAUUCCAUCGAAAGUCAACAGUUAAAUAUAACUAACAUUGUUGACUUUUUGUUGUAUAAAAAUUGUUUGCUUAAUGAGUUAUAUUCGUGUUUAAACGAAAUUAAUGAAUAAAAUGAUGCGUAUAUGCGUUGAAGUUAUUUUGAUUUAAAUUUGAAACUUGAGUACUAUUUUGUUAAUUUCUCUCUAAGAUAAGAGAUAAAAAAAAGUAUAGAUUUUACUAUGAAUAAAUAGACGAUCUUCAUCACGAGUUACUACACAAAGUAUAUAUUUACUUCAUUGCCAGAAGCCGUAACUGAAGGGAAUCAGUAGACAGUAGUAGUAAUGAUGCAAAGUGCAUCAGCUGCAAAGAAGAACUGGAAGAAACGAAGUGUGCGCCCAAGUAAAGUUGCAGGCCUCCUCACAUGUGGCUGAUUAUCUACUUGUGUAGCUGUAGCAGCUGGAGGAGGAUCUUCCACGGGAUGAACCGAUGCAUGACUCACACUCAUUUCCUUCUCUUAUUAAAUAAUAUUGAUACUUCCCCCUUUCGAAUCUUCUCAUACUUCAGAUCUAAUCUGAACUUCUUAUAAGGUUAAAAGUUUUCAACUAGUAGUUUCGUUCAGAGUGAGAAAUGAGAUCCAAUUAAAUUUUCUUGUGUUGUAACAAGUCUCGACCGUAUACAAUCUUUUAAGUUUCAAACAAGUCACAGUAUAUACCGAGUUAAAGUACAAACAGAAACAGAGAAUCUCAAUAUAAAAUUAAUAGCGCAAUAAUAUCUCAAGAUAAUACUUAAGUCUAGUAAUUACUGUAAUUGGAUGUUACGCAUUGCGGAUGGAAGAAUGCAAAUAGGUGGGGGCACAUAUAUAUAAAAUAUUUUUCAGUUGGGGGCAUUUCAUAGAAAGCAUAAGAAUUACUGAAGAAAAUUUUAAAAUGAGAUGAGGGCACGUGACCCCAUACCCUUGGCUGUACGUCCGCCCCUGGGCAUAGGUAAACUUAAGUGAACAAAAGUUUUCAAUUUAUAUCAUAUUGGUUUUCUAAUCCCUCAAGGCAUGAGAAUUCUAUCAAACCCACAAGCCGUCAUUAUAGUCUGAAACAAGUUGCAGUAAAUAUCAUAGUUAAUGACGUUAAUACUAGACAGAAACAUAGAUUCUCAAGAUAAUAAAACAAUAAUAAUCUCGGAGAUAAUGCUAAUAAUUCGUAUAAUUGGAUAUACUAUUUCAUAUUGAACAUAGGAAAAAUUAUGGGAACAAGAGUCUUGAUUUUUUGUCUUGGGGAACAAAAAAGUCUACAAACAUUAAAAUUUACGAAAAAAACAAAAAUGAAUUCAGAGACAAAUCUCUGUCUGUCGAAUUCAGAGACAAAUCAAACAGAAAAAACUAAAGUGAUCACUUUCAAAGCAGAAUCUCACAUUCAAAUCAGAAUAGUGGACAGGAGAGUCUGAUACUAAUAUCUUAUCGCUCACUUCCUCGACUCCAUUUAAACUCUCUAACACCUUCACAUUUCCACACAAUUUAAAAAGAUGACAUAUUCGUUUCUUUCCUCCACUGCUCCCUUCUUUAUCGUUUUUCUGUAUCUCGGUUCCUGCCACGUCUCCAAUGGAGCUCAACAAGCUACUUACAUUGUUCACAUGGCUAAAUCUCAGAUGCCCUCGAGCUUCGAUCAACACUCUCUCUGGUACGAUUCCUCACUCCGCUCAGUCUCAGAAUCCGCUGCAAUGAUCUACACCUACAACAAUGCAAUACAUGGAUUCGCCACUCGGCUUACUCCCGAAGAAGCCGACUCCCUCAUGACCCAACCUGGUGUCAUCUCGGUUCGACAAGAGCAGCGGCACGAGUUACACACCACUCGGACUCCACUAUUCCUAGGUCUAGAUGUACACAACGGAGGCUUAUUCCCCGAAACCAGCACAUCUAGCAACCUUGUCAUCGGAGUUCUCGACUCAGGUGUUUGGCCAGAGAGCAAAAGCUUCUCCGACGAAGGAUACGGCCCCAUUCCGCCUACAUGGAAAGGCGGCUGCGACGCUGGGACUAGAUUCACCAUGUCGCUCUGUAACCGCAAACUAAUCGGAGCUAGAUUCUUCGUUCGGGGUUACGAAGCAAUUAAUGGGCCAGUGGACGAAUCCAAAGAGUCAAAAUCGCCUAGAGAUGACGACGGUCACGGAACACACACGGCGUCAACCGCAGCGGGAUCAGUGGUGGAAGGAGCUAAUCUUUUAGGGUUUGCUAAUGGAACGGCUCGUGGGAUUGCUUAUCGCGCUCGAGUGGCUGUUUACAAAGUUUGUUGGCAACCUGGUUGCUUCAGCUCAGAUAUUUUAGCUGGAAUCGAUAAAGCCAUCGAAGAUAAUGUCAACAUUCUGUCUAUAUCUCUCAGCGGUAUAACGACAUAUUAUACAGACGAUAUUGCCAUUGGAGCAUUUGCAGCCAUGGAAAGAGGGAUCUUUGUUUCUUGCUCGGCUGGUAAUUUUGGUCCCAGCCCUUUCAGUGUAACGAACAUAGCUCCGUGGAUUACUACUGUUGGUGCUGGUACAUUAGAUCGUGAUUUUCCCGCGCUCGCGAUUCUCGGAAAUGGGAAGAACUACACUGGAGUUUCGUUGUUUAAAGGUGAUGAUGAACUUCCGGCUAAAUUGUUGCCAUUUAUUUACGCGGGGAAUGCUAGUGAUGAUGCUAUUGGAUAUCUUUGUUUCCCCGGAACACUAAUUCCUGAGAAGGUAAAGGGGAAGAUCGUAAUGUGCGAUACAGGAGGAGUGGCUCCGGCUAUGAUAGGGGAGGUGGUGAAAAGUGCUGGUGGACUCGGAAUGAUUAUAGCGAAUUUGGCAGGGAGAGGAGAAGAAGUUCAGGCGGAGGCUCACUUUUUACCGGCGACCGCUGUGGGAGAGAAAGCCGGUGACAUUAUCCGCCGCUACGUCUUGACCGAUCCGAAUCCAACGGCUUCAAUUGUGAUCCAAGGCACUGUCGUCAACGUCAAGCCAUCUCCUGUGCUUGCAGCUUUUAGCUCGCGAGGACCUAAUCCCAUAACGCCAAACAUUCUCAAACCGGACUUGAUUGCUCCGGGAGUCAAUAUCCUCGCAGCAUGGACCGGAUCUCUGGGUCCCACCGGACUAGCUUCUGAUACUCGCCGC
rnacentral:lncRNA from 1 species